UACGUAGGGUGCAAGCGUUAAUCGGAAUUACUGGGCGUAAAGCGUGCGCAGGCGGUUUUGUAAGUCUGUCGUGAAAGCCCCGGGCUCAACCUGGGAAUUGCGAUGGAGACUGCAAGGCUUGAAUCUGGCAGAGGGGGGUAGAAUUCCACGUGUAGCAGUGAAAUGCGUAGAGAUGUGGAGGAACACCGAUGGCGAAGGCAGCCCCCUGGGUCAAGAUUGACGCUCAUGCACGAAAGCGUGGGGGCAAACAGG
rnacentral:rRNA from 1 species